UUUCAAUCAGAAUUUCAGGUGAAGCCCAGCCCAACCUUCUAACGCCGCCAGCUAAUUUCAACUCCUCCACCCAUUGACUCUUCAUUGAAAAGUCGAUCAUUUCAGCAUUUCAGCAAUUAACAAGAAGAAUAAUAGUCGGUUGUCUAUAAUUUGUUAGUCAAUCCUUAGGGACUUUUUCAAAUCAUCAGCGAACCUUAGACCUCAGUGAUCGACCACCAUCUCUGCGUCUUCUUUUCAUUGAGUUCCUUCUCUCCAAGAAAAGAAAAAUGUUGGAAUCUUUUCUCUUUAACAUAGCCGAAAGUGUUCUUGGAAAGUUAGCUUCCCCAAUUCUUGAAGAGAUUAGCUUAGCUUGGAAUGUCAACGACGACCUUGAAAAGCUUAGGAGCACCUUGUCCACAAUCAAAGCCGUCCUCUUGGAUGCCGAGGAGCAACAGGGGAAGAACCAUGAGCUUACCAUCUGGUUAUCGAAGCUCAAAGACGCCUGUUAUGAUGCUGAGGAUAUUGUUGAUGAAUUUGAGUGCGAAGCCUUGCUGAGACAAUCUACUGAUAGUAAGGUACGUCGUUUCUUUUCGAGGUCUAAUAACCCACUUGUGUUCCGCUUCAAGAUUGGAAAUAGAAUGAAAGAAAUUAGAGAGAGGUUAGAUGAGAUUUCUGCUCAAAAGGGUAAGUUUCAUCUCACCGAAAGAUUGGUAGAUGAGCGAGUUGUGUACAGGAGGAGAGAGAUGACUCACUCCUUUGUCCAGGCUUCUGAUGUUAUUGGGAGAGAGUCUGAUAGAGAUAAAAUUAUUGAAUAUUUGUUACAUCAUGGUGAGUUAGAAAAUCUCUCAGUUGUUCCCAUAGUUGGAAUUGGAGGCUUAGGGAAGACCACACUAGCUAAAAUGGUGUACAAUGAUGAAAGGGUUGAUAGGAAUUUUCAAUUAAAGAUGUGGGUUUGUGUUUCUGAGGAUUUUGAUGUUAUUAGGGUGACAAAAAUGAUUCUUGAGGCAAUAACAAUGAAGGAUUCCAACAUAAACGAUUUAAAUUUGCUUCAAAUUACAUUGAGGAAACAAUUGAUGGGAAAGAGGUAUUUGAUUAUCUUAGAUGAUGUUUGGAGUGAGAAGUAUGAGGAUUGGAUUGUGCUUCGUCAGCCUUUCCAUGUGGGAUCUCCAGGAAGUAAAAUUAUUAUCACGACUCGAAAUCAUGGUGUUGCAGCAAUUAUGGGUACCGUUGAAGGCCACUUUUUGAAGGAGCUAACAUUUGACAAUUGUCUGUCUUUGUUUGCAGUGCAUGCAUUGGGAAGAAGAAAUUUUGACGGUCACUUGAAUCUAAAGGAGAUUGGUGAGAAGAUAGUUCGGAGGUGUGGAGGACUGCCCUUGGCUGUAAAAACACUUGGGAGUUUGUUGCACAUGAAUACUGAUCAGGAUGAAUGGGAAAGUGUAUUGAAUAGCAAGAUUUGGCAUUUGCCAGAAGACAAGAGUGGUAUUCUUCCAGCCCUGAGAUUGAGCUACUGUUAUCUUCCUUCUUAUUUGAAGCCAUUAUUUGCUUUCUGCUCAAUAUUUCCAAAGAACUACGAGUUUCAUCAGGAUGAAUUGGUACUGUUAUGGAUGGCUGAGGGUUUUCUGCCAGAACUAGAAGGAAAGAAGCCGAUGGAAGAGCUAGAC
rnacentral:misc_RNA from 1 species